UGUAUAUUGUAUCCAUGGUGUUUACUCAAACGGGAUCUUAUCAUCUUAUUGAGAAAGUAGGUCUACCAUAAAAUCCAAUAAAUAUGGGACCAAAAAAGAAGGGGAAGAAGUCUGGCAAACUUUCCAAGAUGACAGAGGAGGAGAGAUUGGCAUACGAGGAACAGAAGAACCUCGCCGAGGAGGAACUGAAAAAGAAAAAGGAGGAUAUGCUGACACAGUUUUUAAAGGAUAAAUUAGCAAAAGAAGAAAGAGCGACAAAGUUUAACAUCAACAAACUAAACCACCAAUGGAGAAACAUCAUGAGAGAGAACAAAUCCAAGGAACUGAAGAAGGACCUGGAAAUUCUGAGUCAGACAUUUGAGAGGAUCGUAGACAGGAAGGAUGCCACCAUUAAAUCAUUGGCAAAGGAUCUCCAGGAGGCUGAUGAACAAUACUCAAUGGCACUGAGGGCUCAUUUACAGAAUGUUGAUGGUCUUAUAGACCAGCAGAAGCUGAGGAUCCAGAGCCUCCAACAGGAGUAUGAGGAGGAGCUGGAGGUGAUCCAUGAGGAGUUUGACACGGAGCGCGCCAUCAUGAUCGACCAGCAUAACGUCGAGAUGAACGACAUCGCAGACAUCUUGUUUGCCAUGGAACAGAACUUCCAGGACAAGGAGAAUGAGGCCAAGUCAGAAUUCCAGAGCAUGACUGAUGAAAUUAGAAAUAAACACAUGGAGGAGAAGCAUGGCCUCCACCACACUCUGCAGGAUAAGCUCGAGUUUUACUGGAAGGAGUUCAGCAACGCGCUCAAGAUGUACCAGGAAAACAACCAGGACCGCAAACUCGCGUUCGAGGAACUCAAAUCUAAGGACGACGACUCUGCCCAGGAAAUUGAUGCUCAGAUGCGCAAACUCACUCGCAUAUCAGAACAAAUUGCUCAAUUGAAAUCAAAAAUGGCAUCCAAUGCCAAAGAAUGUGAAGAAAGAAAUCGACAGCUGAAGGAGGCAAGAGAGAGAGAAAAUGUUGGCACAUUUCCAGCAUUUAAAAUCCCAGAUGAACAAGCUUCGAGAUGGAGAGAGAGACAAACUCACAAAACUCACACUGGAGAGUAAUUCAGCAAUCAAAGAGCUCAAGAGGAACAUUGAAAAGCUACAAUGCAUUAUGAAACUGGGUGAGAUUUGUCGUAAGUUUGAGACAGAGGAAGAGAAAGUGUUACCCUUCUAUGCCUCUUCUUUGACUCAAGAGGAGCAGAACGAUGUGAAUGCUGCUGUGUUAGAGGCUCCAAACGAGGCACUGGUGACUGUGAUGCAUGAGUACAGUACCCUGGAGAACUUCUGGAAGAGAUUUAACAAGGUCAGCCUGGACAAGUUGGCCCUGGAGAAAGAGAAGCAGGGAAUGAUGGUAGAGAACCAGCAGCUCCGGACGCUGCUCAAGCAGUAUCUCGACGGAAUCUCGGUCAACGACGAGAUCCUCUCACAGGUCAACCCGCUCUUCAUCGUCAACAACAAGACCAAUGUCAAAUUGAAUGUCCCAGUAACUGACCCCAGAAUUCGGCGCCCAGUCGCUCAGACGGUAAUAGAGGCUUCCCAUGCAGUCAAGAAUAUACUGCCGUCAUGAUUUGAUUCUGUUUUGUAUCGAUGUCUAGUAAACUUGUGGGCCAUUCCUGGUUAAACUCUGUAUUGUUAACUGCUAUCUAUAUAUUUUUUGGUUGUGUAUCAGGAGCCUUUGACGUGUUAAAUUGAUCAAUACAUACUAUGUAUACAGUGAUAAACAUAAUGAUUGUUAUGUAUUUAUACAGUGAUAAAUACAGGAA
rnacentral:misc_RNA from 1 species